rnacentral:rRNA from 1 species
UCUUAAUGAUAGUUGGGAAAGUUUUUUCGCCAAGGGAUCGGGCUAUAUGGUAUCAGUUAGUUGGUGAGGUAAUAGCUCACCAAGACGAUGACGCCUAGCUGGUCUGAGAGGAUGAUCAGCCACACUGGAACUGAGGCACGGUCCAGACUCCUACGGGAGGCAGCAGUGGGGAAUAUUGCACAAUAGGGGAAACCCUGAUGCAGCAACGCCGCGUGGAGGAUGACGCAUUUCGGUGUGUAAACUCCUUUUAUAUAGGAAGAUAAUGACGGUACUAUAUGAAUAAGCACCGGCUAACUCCGUGCCAGCAGCCGCGGUAAUACGGAGGGUGCAAGCGUUACUCGGAAUCACUGGGCGUAAAGCGCGCGCAGGCGGUUUAAUAAGUUGGAUGUGAAAUCCUAUGGCUUAACCAUAGAACUGCAUCCAAAACUGUCAAACUAGAGUCUGGGAGGGGAAGAUGGAAUUAGUGGUGUAGGGGUAAAAUCCGUAGAGAUCACUAGGAAUACCAAAAGCGA